rnacentral:rRNA from 1 species
UACGGGGGGGGCAAGCGUUGUUCGGAAUUACUGGGCGUAAAGGGCUCGUAGGCGGCCAACUCAGUCAGACGUGAAAUCCCUCAGCUUAACUGGGGAACUGCGUCUGAUACUGGUUGGCUUGAGUGCAGGAGAGGAAUGCGGAAUUCCAGGUGUAGCGGUGAAAUGCGUAGAUAUCUGGAGGAACACCGGUGGCGAAGGCGGCAUUCUGGACUGCAACUGACACUGAAAGACGAAAGCCAGGGGAGCAAACGGG